CGCCGUUUUGGAAUCCAUUGUUCAUCCUCUUCCUUCUUUCAGCAAAGGAACCCGUUUGCAAAAUAAACAACACCAAUGGCCUCUGUCAGACCUCAUCAUCUCACCAAAUGCAAGCCAGAAUGCAGACCAAAUGGUCCACUAUAAAUCCCCAAUUGGCUCAGCUCACAGCGCCUCCACAAUGCGCCUCUGGUGUCAAGAAAACCCAUCACCAACAGGCCAACAAUGGCAGGACUGUUGGUGUCCCAAUCCCAUCAAACUCGGGGCCAAUUUUUAUCUUCGCACAAGAUCACAAUCCCAAGAAGAUAAGGGUUGAGUUUCUCUCAAGGUGGCCUAUAAAAGCAGAGGACGCAGAGAGACUGGAGGAUGAAAAAAAAAACACAAGAAAAGAAAAUAGAGAAGCCAAGGAGACCCUUAACCUUCCCUUACAGCAGAUUGCUGACCCAACCACAGAAAAAAACCCAAAGGAACAGAGAGAGAGCCAGAGAAGAUCUAGAGAGCAGAAGCAAACCCAAAACCAGAGAGAAGGACGAUUAGAGAGAAACAGACAAAACAAAAACGGAAUAAGGAGUAUUGCCCAAUCCAGCACCACCUCAAGUCUUCGUCCUUAAACAACGUCUGAAGCAGAUAAAUAUGGAAUCGUGGAUAAUGGCACCGUCUCACAGUUUUGCAAUAGUCAAAGAGACCAAGUGAAAGUGGUUAAAGAAUCUGACAACUAUGCAAGCAUCCGCAUUGUCCAAUUUCAUACAAAACCUCAGCCUAAUCCCAAACUCCACCCACAAAGCUAACCAUACCAUAUUAUCGAAACAAACAAUUUUCUUUGCCAAUCAAAACCAAGCAAAUUUCUAAAGAAAAAAGAAAGUACAAACCAUUGGCUCGAAUUGGACCCUUCCACUUGAGACACAACAAGCUGCAUGCAUGAAUCGGGCUCAUCAUGCAUAGCCACAUGGCAUCUUUAUGCCACGUUUCAGCUAGAAGCUAGCUCCUGACUUCUCUGGUGAAUAGUUUUUGGCCGCUUCCCUUUUGCAUUUGCGGCUUCGUUAUCUUGUUAGGCCGUUUGUUUUUUGAUCAGUGAAGGUGGUGUGGUUUCAUGAGCCAAAGCAUGCAGCUUACUCAGGUUAGCUUACUCAGGUUAGUGAUAACCCACGAAUGGAAGAAAUGAAAGAGCAAACCCUCUCCGGGAAGGAAUUAUCAACCUACAACUCCUUUACACCUUUUAUUUAGGCUUCCUUUCUUUACUUAUAAAAUCUCACACUCCACGGAUUCUUUCCUUUUCUUUUGAUCAAGCUCUCUCUUCACAAUAAAAAUACCUACUACAAUCUUAACCAGAAGAAAGGUUAGAAGGACAAAUGUGUCACCCUGGUGUGCUUUCGGUUAGCCAAAGGAACUUGGUGGUGUAUCAAAGAAGGCUCGUUUUGCAAGCAGUUGAGACAGAAACUGCACAUGCACGAACAGAGGUGGCUGCUGGUGGCGGAAGUGCUAUUUCUAGAUCGAUAAACAAGUGUUUGUGUUCACCCACAAGGCACCCAGGAUCCUUCAGGUGCAGGCACCACCGUUCUGAUUAUGUGUGGAGUGGGAGAAUAACAAGAAAGAAGCAACUCCUUGAAAAGGUAUGAUGUAAGUGUAUAAACUGUGAAAGAGAAUUUAAAGUUUUUACCGCUUGUUUCUAAUGAAUUUCGUUUUCAUCAACUGCUCCAGUUUCGAACUGGGUUGCGUAACAGAACCAACAGCGAAACAUGAAAAUGGAAUCCGUUGAGGGUUCAUUUUUUAUAACUAGUCUCUAAAUCUCUCCUGUUUUUCUU